ensembl:snRNA
GGGUAACAUGCCGAGAGAAGGUUAGCACUCCCCUUGAUAAGGAUGGAAGAGGUGCUAGUGACCUUUACAACACGCAUAUGGUUAAGGCAUUGCCACUUACUUCGUGGCAUCUAACUUUAAAAGUAC